rnacentral:lncRNA from 1 species
CUAAUGUUUUUGCAAGAUGGUACACAUAUCGUUGUUUGUUCAAUCUUUGUUUGUAAGGGAGAUGUUAUGUCUUGUAUGUAGAUGUCCCCCCAAAGCCUCAUGUGGUCACAGGUAGAGAUUUUCAGAGGUGUCUGGACGUAGGAUGUGUGCUGCUGGGAUCAAAAAUGUGCCGCUGGGACUGACUCAAGCAAACCUAAUGCAGGAAAACUUCGGCAACAUCAAGUUUAUGCAGUUAGAGUCUACUGAUUGGAUACCACGCAGGCACAGGAAAAGAACAUGUGAAGGAUCCUAUCAGCCUAAAGAAUCACUGUCAGCCUCCCUACGCUAGCAGGACUUCCAGACCAAUGCUGAACAGCAGUGACAAGAAGUUACUUUCUUCUCAUGUCUAAUCUUGGGUCCCCAGAAUCCAAGGAACACUGUCUACUGAUAAAUCGC